AUGAAAAAAGAGCAUGGUGGCCUAGGAGUCCCAAACAUAAGAGAUGUUAAUCUCUGUCUCUUGGGGAGCUGGAUUAAGAGAUACAUUAAGGAUGAGGGGAAGAUAUGGAGAUAUAUUGUAGAUGCUAAAUAUCUCAAUAACUCCCCAAACAUCUUUGCAUGCAGCUCCCAACAAACCUCUAGGUUUUGGAAGGGUGUUAUGUGGGCAGCCAAAGCCCUGAAAUUUGGAUAUAGGUGGGUAGUUGGUAAUAGAAAGAAGAUCAGGUUUUGGGAGGAUAUUUGGUUUGGUACCUCUCCUUUAUCUGUUCAAUUCUGGCCCUUAUAUACUAUCUGUCAUCAACAUGGGGUGACCCUUGCUAAAAUUUGGGAUCAAAAUACUAUAAAACUGACUUUCAGAAGGAUCUUUACCCCCACCAUGAUGGAAAGCUGGUAUUGUCUUGAGCAAAUUAUUACUAGCACCAUUUAUUCAGCGGGGGAAGACUCUCUAAUUUGGCAGCAUGAAUCCAAGGGGGAGUACACAACUGGAUCCCUGUAUAGUAUAAUUAACUUUAGAGGAGUGCAACCAGUUUACAUCCCCUCUGUUUUGUCUGUUAAUGUUCCCCAUAGAGUGCAGGUGUUUCUGUGGCUUCUCUCUCACAAUAAGCUCAUGACUAGAGAUACCCUCUCUAAAAGAGGCAUUGAAAGAUCUCUGGAAUGUGUUUAUUGCUCUGAGAAAGAAUCUAUACAUCACCUUUUUUUGACUGUAUUAUUGCAAAACAGAUGUGGAGUCCUGUUUUAG
rnacentral:rRNA from 1 species